GAAAGGUUCCGCUUGCUUGAAGAGGGGUCAAUGUCCUAUCAGCUAGUUGGUGGGGUAAUAGCCCACCAAGGCAAAGACGGGUAGCCGGCCUGAGAGGGUGGUCGGCCACACUGGGACUGAGAUACUGCCCAGACUCCUACGGGAGGCUGCAGUCGAGAAUCUUUCGCAAUGCCCGAAAGGGUGACGAAGCGACGCCGCGUGCGGGAGGAAGGCCUUCGGGUUGUAAACCGCUGUCGGGAGUUAAGAAAUGCAAGGAUGUUAAUAGCGUUCUUGCUUGACUAAGGCUCCGGAGGAAGCCACGGCUAACUCUGUGCCAGCAGCCGCGGUAAUACAGAGGCGGCAAGCGUUGUUCGGAAUUAUUGGGCGUAAAGAGCACGUAGGCGGCUGUGUAAGUCGGUUGUGAAAGCCUUCCGCUCAACGGAAGAACGGCAUCCGAUACUGCAUGGCUUGAGUGUGGGAGGGGAGAGUGGAACUUCUGGUGGAGCGGUGAAAUGCGUAGAUAUCAGAAGGAACACCGGCGGCGAAGGCGACUCUCUGGUCCAUAACUGACGCUGAGUGUGCGAAAGCUAGGGGAGCAAACGGGAUUAGAUACCCCGGUAGUCCUAGCCGUAAACGAUGGGCACUAAGUAGAGGGGUUUUGAUUAUCUCUCUGCCGGAGCUAACGCAUUAAGUGCCCCGCCUGGGGAGUACGGCCGCAAGGCUAAAACUCAAAAGAAUUGACGGGGGCUCGCACAAGCGGUGGAGCAUGUGGCUUAAUUCGAUGCAACGCGAAGAACCUUACCGGGGUUUGACAUGGUAGAAGUAGAAGCCUGAAAAGGUGACGAACGGUAUCCAGUCCGUAACUAACACAGGUGUUGCAUGGCUGUCGUCAGCUCGUGUCGUGAGACGUUGGGUUAAGUCCCCUAACGAGCGAAACCCUUGUCUUUAGUUGCCAGCAGGUAAUGCUGGGCACUCUAAAGAAACUGCCGUCGUCAAGACGGAGGAAGGUGGGGAUGACGUCAAGUCAUCAUGGCCCUUAUAUCCCGGGCUGCACACGUGCUACAAUGGUCGGUACAAAGGGAUGCUAAGCCGCAAGGUGGAGCGAAACCCAGAAAGCCGAUCCCAGUUCAGAUUGGAGGCUGAAACCCGCCUCCAUGAAGUAGGAAUCGCUAGUAAUCGCGGAUCAGCUACGCCGCGGUGAAUAUGUUCCCGAGCCUUGUACACACCGCCCGUCAAGCCACCCAAGCAAGAUGCACCCAAAAUCACCGGCCUAACCUGAAAAGGAAGGAAGUGCCUAAGGUGUGUUUUGUGAGGAGGACUAAGUCGUAACAAGGUAGUCGUAGGAGAACCUGCGGCUGGAUCACCUCCUU
rnacentral:rRNA from 1 species